rnacentral:rRNA from 1 species
GAUGAACGCUGGCGGCGUGCCUAAUACAUGCAAGUCGAGCGAACAGAUGAGGAGCUUGCUCCUCUGACGUUAGCGGCGGACGGGUGAGUAACACGUGGAUAACCUACCUAUAAGACUGGGAUAACUUCGGGAAACCGGAGCUAAUACCGGAUAAUAUAUUGAACCGCAUGGUUCAAUAGUGAAAGACGGUUUUGCUGUCACUUAUAGAUGGAUCCGCGCCGCAUUAGCUAGUUGGUAAGGUAACGGCUUACCAAGGCAACGAUGCGUAGCCGACCUGAGAGGGUGAUCGGACACACUGGAAGUGAGACACGGUCCAGACUCCUACGGGAGGCAGCAGUAGGGAAUCUUACGCAAUGGGCGAAAGCCUGACGUAGCAACGCCGCGUGAGUGAUGAAGGUCUUCGGAUCGUAAAACUCUGUUAGUAGGGAAGAACAAAUGUGUAAGUAACUAUGCACGUAUUGACGGUACCUAAUCAGAAAGCCACGGCUAACUACGUG